rnacentral:rRNA from 1 species
GACGAACGCUGGCGGCGUGCUUAACACAUGCAAGUCGAACGGAAAGGCCCUGCUUUUGUGGGGUUCUCGAGUGGCGAACGGGUGAGUAACACGUGAGUAACCUGCCCUUGACUUUGGGGUAACUUCAGGAAACGGGGGCUAAUACCGGAUAGCAGCUCCUGCUGCGUGGUGGGGGUUGGAAAGUUUCGGCGGUUGGGGAUGGACGCGCGGCUUAUGAGCUUGUUGGUGGGGUAGUGGCUUACCAAGGCUGUGACGGGUAGCCGGCCUGAGAGGGUGAACGGCCACAUUGGUACUGAGAUACGGAGCAGAGUCGUACGGGAGGCAGUAGUGGGGAAUAUGGCACAACGGGCGGGAGCCGGAUGCAGCAACGCCGGGUGCGGGAUGACGGCUUUCGGGUUGUAAACCGCUUUCGCCUGUGACGCAGCGGGAGUGACGGUAAUGGGUAAAGAAGCACCGGCUAACUACGUG